AGCGAACGCUGGCGGCAGGCCUAACACAUGCAAGUCGAACGGAUCCUUCGGGAUUAGUGGCGGACGGGUGAGUAACACGUGGGAACGUGCCCUUUGGUUCGGAACAACUCAGGGAAACUUGAGCUAAUACCGGAUGUGCCCUUCGGGGGAAAGAUUUAUCGCCAUUGGAGCGGCCCGCGUCUAAUUAGCUAGUUGGUGAGGUAACGGCCCACCAAGGCGACGAUCAGUAGCUGGUCUGAGAGGAUGAUCAGCCACACUGGGACUGAGACACGGCCCAGACUCCUACGGGAGGCAGCAGUGGGGAAUCUUGCGCAAUGGGCGAAAGCCUGACGCAGCCAUGCCGCGUGAAUGAUGAAGGUCUUAGGAUUGUAAAAUUCUUUCAGCGGGGACGAUAAUGACGGUACCCGCAGAAGAAGCUCCGGCUAACUUCGUG
rnacentral:rRNA from 1 species